GCUUGUAGUGCAACAGCUCAGCACGCGCUCCUGAAACAUGUGAUAUCUGGGUUCGAAUCCCAGCUGAUGCA